rnacentral:lncRNA from 1 species
CCCCAUACAGCGAGGGGGGCGGGGAUGGGGAAACCGACCUUCCUCCCCUUCUCCACCCCUCCUUCUCUCCCACUCCCUCCUCUUUCCCCACCUCCUGGGAUCCUCCACGGGUCUGGUCCUGCCCUGGGCCAGGCUGCCCGUCUGAGUUUCUGGGUCAGUCAUGAGUUUGGGGCCACUCAGUCUGGUGGGCUCAAGUUGACCAAGGUUCUCAGGGGGCAGAGAGCCCUCUGCCAGCACAGCCCUUGCCACCUGCUCCGUGGAUGCCACCAUCCACAGGACCCUAACUGCAUUGCAUCCUUGUGGGGCCUGGGAAAAGAAAAUGGCAUCAUUUCUGCCUCUAGGAUCAAAGAUCCUCAACUCUAGCCUGCUCUGGCCGCCUGUCUCCUGCUGGGCCCACGGUCCCCCUCUGUCCCCAUGCCCACAGCGGCAGCGUGCCCGUCCGUAGGUAUCGGCGUGAUUCUUCUCUCUACAUUUUUAAAAAUUCCAAACCUCCCCACAACUCAAACGUUUCUCUUAUUAUCUUCUGCCGAGGGAAAAAAAUUAAUAACAUGGCGCAAUAUAAAAUACUAAAUUAAAGGCAUUUUGGAACCAGC